rnacentral:lncRNA from 1 species
AUUCUUGAAGGCGAGGCCCAAUAAGCAAAUUCCCAGCCCAAUCAAGAAAUCCAUCCAUACUUAGUUGAAAAUCAGGCCAAAUUGUCAAAGUGGCCCAAGUUGUAAAGUUUUAUUUUUAUUUAUUUAUUUAUUUACUUAGUUUAAAUUUUUAUGUCAAUAUUCAGUCCAAGAGUCCCAGAUAAAAUGACCUUUGAUCGAAUUUCCAUAUUAAAAUAAUUAGGAGUUUUUUUUAUUUUAGUUUUCUAAUUAGAUUAGGACUAGUUAUAAGGCCUAUUUAAAGGCAUGGCUGUCCACCUUGUUAAACACUUAUCAUUAUUAUUAAAAUUUCAGAUUUGUUGAGAGCAGAAUUUUCUUUGAGUUUUCUCCAAGAUUUCUCUAUUGAGUUUUCUUUAGAAGUUGUUUUAACAAUCUUGUGAUUGUGGGAGCCAUCUUCAACCUUCUUCUUGCCAUUGAUAUUCUUUGGAGGGGAGAUUAGAGCCGUUUGAAGGGAGUUGUGAGAUCUUUCGAGAUUUCAAGGCUUCUUAGGACUUAUCUUUUAAUUUCUUACUGUCAAUUCUUUCUUUAUUUCUACUUGUGCUGAAUCAUUAUCUAAUCUAUUUUCUGUUCUUAUUGUGUUUUCAGCCUUUUUCUAUCUUAAGGAAUUAGCCCAAAAAUCCCCAAUUUUUAGGGUUCUUGCCGAUUCAUCCAUACUCUUUUUGGGUGAAAUUAGAUUGCUGAAAUUUGGGGAAAACUAUCUGGGUGUUCAAUUGGGCAGAAUCGCAAUCUCUUCUAGGGUUUCAAGAUUCCUUAUUAACACUUAUUUCUAUUCUCUAUUUAAUUCUUUACUUUUUUGGGGAUUUUAUUUCAGAUCUGAAAAUUCAAAAAUCUAAUCUUUUAAUUUUCUGUUUCGUUUCAAAUCUAAUUGUUUAGGGUUUUCGUAGGAGUUUCUCGUGACUUGGCAACUCGAUCUUGGUCCGCGCGCAACCUCGUAUCACUCACCUUAGUGCCGCUCACUCUGGAACAAGUCUAUGAGGACCAAAUCAAACUGAAAAAUUCUGUUAAAACAAGUGAGGAAAAAGAAAAAGAGAAUGAAAAAGAGCAAAAAGAGAUUGAGAGUGAAAAAGAAAUUGAAGAAAGAAGAGAAAAUGAAUUAGAAAAAGAAACAAAAGAAAAAGACGUGGAAAGGGUAGUGAGGAAUGUUUCCACUAACCAAGAUAUGAAUUUUUCUUGUGUUGCUACUUUUCAGGUUCCCGAAAGAUCGAAAGAUAACUUUCAACUUCAAUACCUCUCAAAUGAAAGACGCUUUCAUACGAUCAACUUAGGCAAAGAUGAAAUCACACUACAUGAUCCCGAAGGUAAGCGAGGUAAGGAAAUUUUAGAAACCGAGUCCAGUGCAGAUUUGAAAAUUAUUGAUAAAACUUUUGGUGACUUAGUUCUUAAAAGAUCCCCUCAUUUUGAUCCGAUUAAUUGUUACUCUUCGAUUGUGGUUGAUAAAGUCAUUACGAAAAGAAGCGUGAUUUGUUAUUCUCUUGAUUUACCUUGUGUAAAAUCCUCGAAUUUGUCCAAAUCUGUUUUGGAGAAUAAGGUAACGAAAUUUUCCAAAUUUGUUUUCAACUUAUAUUCGUGCCUUAAACAGUUUAUGUGGUUGUACAUGAAGUUUGAGUUCCAUUUGACAAAGGUUAACUCAACAACGGAGAUUCGACUACACUAUGCCCCCGAUGAGCGAAGGUUUGUUUUAAAUGAAAAAGGUAAAAUCGACCCUUAUUCUUCUGCUUAUCGAGGUAAGAUGCUUGAAACCUUUGAAACACUUUUGUACUCCUCGGAUAGUGAUAAAGAUCGUGUUGAUGAACACUUAGAUCGAAACGUGCUUGACUGUCCUAUUUUAUUUAUUGAUGAUCUAUCUGUUUUGAUGGUUGAUAAAAAGAUUCUUGUUUUUGAUAAUGCAUGUGUGAGUGAAUCUAUAGACCAUCGAUUAAUGCAUGGUAUGAUUAUGCAACUCUGUGAACCAUGUGAAUCUUUUCAAAUACCUACUUGUGACGAUUAUGUUUACCAUUUGAUUUAUUACUCGCAAUUUAUUCAUGGUUUGUGGGAACAAUGUGAGACGAUUGAAUGCCUUAAAACAUGUCCAUCUUUGUUUCAAAUAUUUGACGAGGCAGUGGUGAGUAAAUUAGAUUGUUUGCAUGGUAAUAUGAAUCUGUCCAUUCACAUGCGUUAUACCUGUUCUGUUAUGCUUAUAAUUGGACUACAAGCUUGUUUCCGUUGCUAUUUACUAUCUCAUGGCUAUUCUUUUCAGUGGACUCAAUUGCCAUUAGUCCCGUUCGAUAGAGGAAAGUCGAGUUCAUUUGAUUUUUCAGAUUCGAGGACGAAUCUUUUUGAGGAAGGGGGGAAUGAUACGAGUCACAAAAGCCCAAAUUCUUGAAGGCGAGGCCCAAUAAGCAAAUUCCCAGCCCAAUCAAGAAAUCCAUCCAUACUUAGUUGAAAAUCAGGCCAAAUUGUCAAAGUGGCCCAAGUUGUAAAGUUUUAUUUUUAUUUAUUUAUUUAUUUAUUUACUUAGUUUAAAUUUUUAUGUCAAUAUUCAGUCCAAGAGUCCCAGAUAAAAUGACCUUUGACCGAAUUUCCAUAUUAAAAUAAUUAGG